rnacentral:rRNA from 1 species
UAGGGAAUCUUCGGCAAUGGGGGCAACCCUGACCGAGCAACGCCGCGUGAGUGAAGAAGGUUUUCGGAUCGUAAAGCUCUGUUGUAAGUCAAGAACGAGUGUGAGAGUGGAAAGUUCACACUGUGACGGUAGCUUACCAGAAAGGGACGGCUAACUACGUGCCAGCAGCCGCGGUAAUACGUAGGUCCCGAGCGUUGUCCGGAUUUAUUGGGCGUAAAGCGAGCGCAGGCGGUUUGAUAAGUCUGAAGUUAAAGGCUGUGGCUCAACCAUAGUUCGCUUUGGAAACUGUCAAACUUGAGUGCAGAAGGGGAGAGUGGAAUUCCAUGUGUAGCGGUGAAGUGCGUAGAUAUAUGGAGGAACACCGGUGGCGAAAGCGGCUCUCUGGCUUGUAACUGACGCUGAGGCUCGAAAGCGUGGGGAGCAAACAGGAUUAGAUACCCUGGUAGUCCACGCCGUAAACGAUGAGUGCUAGGUGUUAGACCCUUUCCGGGGUUUAGUGCCGCAGCUAACGCAUUAAGCACUCCGCCUGGGGAGUACGACCGCAAGGUUG